rnacentral:rRNA from 1 species
CGGGCGGACGGGUGAGUAAUGUCUGGGAAACUGCCCGAUGGAGGGGGAUAACUACUGGAAACGGUAGCUAAUACCGCAUAACGUCGCAAGACCAAAGAGGGGGACCUUCGGGCCUCUUGCCAUCGGAUGUGCCCAGAUGGGAUUAGCUAGUAGGUGGGGUAACGGCUCACCUAGGCGACGAUCCCUAGCUGGUCUGAGAGGAUGACCAGCCACACUGGAACUGAGACACGGUCCAG